rnacentral:RNase_P_RNA from 1 species
GAAGCACGCCAGACUGCCGCUGGUGCAAGGGUGGAAACACCGCACUGGAGGAAGGUCCGGACUGCAAAGGGCAGCGUAGCAGCUAACAGCUGUCCACCGUGAGGUGAGGAUCAGAGCUACAGAGACGAGCCGGUUAAGUCCGGGUGAAACGAGCAAUCUCUACGCGCAGCAAUACCAAGUAGGCACACGUUGACGGGGCCCCCGGAGUGUGCGGGUAGGUAGCACCGAG